rnacentral:rRNA from 1 species
UACGGGAGGCAGCAGUGGGGAAUAUUGCACAAUGGGCGCAAGCCUGAUGCAGCCAUGCCGCGUGUAUGAAGAAGGCCUUCGGGUUGUAAAGUACUUUCAGUCGUGAGGAAGGUGUUAAGGUUAAUAACCUUAGCAAUUGACGUUAGCGACAGAAGAAGCACCGGCUAACUCCGUGCCAGCAGCCGCGGUAAUACGGAGGGUGCGAGCGUUAAUCGGAAUUACUGGGCGUAAAGGGCACGCAGGCGGUUAAUUAAGUUGGAUGUGAAAUCCCCGGGCUUAACCUGGGAAUGGCAUUCAAGACUGGUUAGCUAGAGUCUUGUAGAGGGGGUUAGAAGUUCCAUGUGUAGCGGUGAAAUGCGUAGAGAUGUGGAGGAAUACCGGUGGCGAAGGCGGCCCCUGGACAAAGACUGACGCUCAUGUGCGAAAGCGUGGGGAGCAAA